AAAUUGAAGGUUUGAUCAACCAAUGGAUUGGCGAUGCUGCAAUUCUGGAAACGAAAGUCAUGUCUCUGACUGAUGCAAAAAGAGAUGGGGCAAUCGCAAUGUUUGGAGAAAAAUAUGGAGAACAUGUGCUUAUGCUUAUCAAUUUUACUUUAAGAAUGCUAUGAUUAUAGAGCAGGGGAGAUUUUUCUGGCUGGGGGUCGGGGCGGGUUAUUUGGCUUCGGAUCGGUCGGGUGGCAAGACUUCAAUGGGUGGGUUAAUAUGAUCCAAGUCGGGGCGGGUUAUUUGGCUUCGGAUCGGUCGGGUGGCAAGACUUCAAUGGGUGGGUUAAUAUGAACCAAUGAGAGAAUGCCACGUGUUUUAAAAAAUUGAGGAAAUAUGUUUUAACGGUGGAAGGGUAAAUGUGGCCCGAAAGUGUAACGGUGGGGGUAUGUUAAAGAAUACAAACGGAGGGUAAAUGUAGCUUAUUUUUAAUAGUAGAAGGGCAAAUCUGACCCUUAACCGUACUAUUAUUACUACCUUUCCUUUUCAAAACUUUCACAACCCAAAAAUAAUUGAAUAUUAGAGAAUAAUAAGUUAUUCUAAAAAAACGAAAUUGAAGUAGAAACUGGAUGUUUCUAAUAUAUUCUUAGUAGGUGCAAGAUAUAAUAUUGAUCGAUUGGUCGAAAUUAAUUAUAUUUGUUAGUCGGAAAGAAUAUAAAAUAAAUAUAUUAUAUGUAUAUAAUAUUUAUAUAUACAAAAUAUAUAUAUAUAUAUAUAUAUAUAUAUAUAUAUAUAUAUAUACAUAUGUGUGUAUAUAUAUAUAUAUAUAUAUUUAUAUAUAUAUAUAAUUAUUUUGGAUAUUUAAUCACCAGAAAUAAUUUUAUGGGAGUAAUAAAUAAUUAUUUACCAAUUAAAAUGCAAAAUCAAUUUAAAAAGAGUAAAAAAAAGAAACAAAUUAUUUGUGCAAAAUUUCCAUGAUAGUAUUUUGAUAAGGUAUAAAAGGUUGGAAAUUAAACAUCUCAUGGGAUAGUUGUAUAGGAAAAUAUUCCACAAAUACAAAAUAUAUGACAAACAUGAGGGCAAAAUUGAGUAACAGCAGCUUUCCUCUAUAUCUGAGAAUAAUAAAAGAAUUGUUUGGUAAAAAAAUCGAGAUGGUAAUCAAUUUUGUCCGAAUAGGUAAGAAUGGGGGAAUGGGUGUUUUAAACUACGGGGAAAGAACCCUGGCUUUUAAAUUGCCUAUAUAUCCAUAAUUUUACGAAAAUCAUGUGCGUAUAGUUCUGAAUUCAACUGCAAAUGAGAUCGAUUGAGCCAUUAUGACAUAAUAGAUUAGUACUUAUUUUUUGUGUGAUAUUUGUAAUUUUUCCAAAAGAUUUUAAUUAUUUUUUUCGAUUAUCCUUGAGUUAAUAAAAUGGUUAAAGAGGGAAAAAGAGGCUUUUUUCUGUGGUGUUCAAAAUCAAUUAUUUACGACGUACCAAAACACUAACAAAGUAUUAGAGCGAUCAUUGUGCCUUGUUAUAUGAUGAUCCCAAUCCAAAAGUUUGAUAUUUGAGAAAGGAAAAUUAAACGAUGAUUAAUUGUCAAUAUUAAAAGAACACUCUUUUAAAUCUUAUUAAAACAAGCAGUCAAGAAAAGACAAGACCAAUAGGAAAAGAAGAAAACAAUUGAAGAAUUAUUGCUUCAUUUGGACAAAGAAUAUAGACGAAUAAGAAUUAAUCCAAAGUAGAAUAUUUCAAGUCAAAGUUACAUCAAAUGAACCUUCCCUUUACAAUUCAUAUAUCUAGGGAAGAAAAAUAUUAAGUUGAGAAUACUAACCUGUGGAACAAGCCAGUCAUUAGUCAAAAAUAAAAAGGCGAUUCGGUGUAUUAAAUAUAUUUUGUAUUUACGUAAAGCUUGAGAAAGGACUACAUCUCAAAGGGUGAUUUUAAAUCUUAUUAAAACUACCUUAACAUAAAUAUUAAUAGCUAUUUAUAUGGUUCAAAUAUAUAACCUAUAAGUCACAAAAAUAAUUUAGUGUUGUCUCAAUCCACAUUUCUAGUAAAAAAAUAUUAGUAAUUAUUGGUUUUUCCAUAUAGACCAGGUUCACCCGCAGCCCUAUAUUAUUUUUCUUUUGCACUAAAUGUCUUACUUCUAACUAGUUUUUUCUUUUCUUCUUUAAUUGGAAGAAGAGACUUUUUAAAUUCUCUAGUUAAAAUUUAUCCUUUCACUUCAGACAAAUUUCACGUUGAUAAAAUACAAAAGAGAUAUAAACUAUAAAAACAAAUAAAUUUUAGAUUCUAAUAAUAUAUUUUAAAGUCAUACGAGUGCGCUUAAACCCAAGAAAAAUAAUAUCACUAAAUUAUUAUAUAUGAUAUCAAAGUUACUCUGAUACCAUAUACACCAUACAAGAUUGUUAUAUAUGAUAUCAAAUUCACUCAGAUUGUUAAAAAAGAUAAUAUCACUUUUUAAACUCAUUGUAGUUAAAAUUUGCCCUUCCACCCCAGGCAAAUUUCACACUGGAAAACACAGAAGAGUUAUAUAAGAUAUAUAAGUAAAUAAGUCUUAUAUUCUAAUGAUGUAUUUUAAAGAUGUAUGAAUCUAGACCCAAAAAAAAUAAUAUCAGUAAUAGGCUGGAUUAUUAUAUAUGGUAUAAAAUCACUUUGAGUAUAAUUUUGUAGAAUGGUGGGGCAAACAUUAACGGAAAAUUGAAUUUAAACGAAUCCCACGUUUAAUUUCUCAUAUCUUAUAUCGACAAAAUACGGAGAUAUACUCGGUUGAGUCCCAAAGGGGGGUGUAUAUGAUAUUCCAAGUGAAUCUUACAUCGCUAAAUACAAAAAAAAUAUUGGAUUAAGUAAUAAAUUUUAUGCUCUAGUAACACAUUUAAAAGUCGUAAAAAGGCACGACCCAAGUGGAUGAUAAUUGCCACUAGGUAAUUCGAAAUCAAACUUUUGACACAAUUCAGUAGUUAAAGGAUUAUAUUUAUUUUCAUUUUAGGACCUCAUAAUAUGACUCGAACUCGAAUGAAUUACAAUGCUAUAUUAAAUUAUUCACUCUCAAAUAUUGAUUUGUCCAAUUAGAAAGUUGCAUAUAAAUCACAAGAUAAUUAAAAAAAUUAGUACCAGUUAAACAUAGUAAGGUUUAAUAUGUUAAAUCGCAUAGGAUGUAAUUAGAAUUUUUAAUUAUAAUAUAGUGGCCCUUAUGUCCCUCCACCUAACAACAUAAAUAUUUUUAUUUUGAAAAAAUAUUUGCCGUUGUGUGAACUGUGAAACACACUUUGAAAGGCAAGAAGCAGAGACAGUGAAAAGAUUCUUUUACAGUGGAAGGAUUUAAUUCUGAUUUCUGACUAUCAUUUCUUGAUUGAAUUAAUUGUGUUUCUUGUUUGACUUUUUGGUGUAUUUCGUACUGCCUGAGUCGUGGCUUAUUUGGAUAUGGAUAAGCUUGAGGCAUAGACCAUAGUCUAAUAUUCAUGGGGUUGAAUAUUAAAAAUGACUGCAGAAAAUAUAAAAAAGAUACUAAAUGUCACACUCCUUUUCUACCCCAAAAGAGAAGAUAUGCGUGUGAAUUUGUGGACUAAAGUAUUUUUAAUUAAAGUGACAAAUUUAAGUAGAAAUUAUUCUAUUGUUUAAAGUUGACAUUUGAAAUUAAUUUGUUGGAUGUUUCAAGUCACCUUUUAUUUGAAUUUUUAGUCAAAGAAAGGUUAGACUCUAUUACUGUUGGUCUGCAAAAUAAAAUUCGGGUAAGAAAUUCUGUUGAUCAGGAAGAAAGUAUAAGGCAUUCCUCGAGUCCUGUGGUUCUAGGACGGUUGCUUUAAUGACUUAAAACUUAGCUUGAAUUAAUUUUGGACAAAUUGUAAUUUAUAAGAUUCUCAUGUUUUACCUAUUCACUUUUAUUUCUUGAUUGUUAGAUUUAUUUAUUUUUUUUAAAAUGACAUUUUGGAUAAAUUAUGUUGUUAUAACCACGCUACACGAGUGAAUACGUGAUCAAAACGAAAUUUAUUAAUUUUAAAUUAUAACUGUGCUACGCAAGCGAAUCCGCAGUUAUGACAGAGAUUAUUAGUACGCUAUAACUUUUGGGAAGAUUAUUACAUUUAAGAAAAUUAAUUUUAAAAUUUAUUUAAAAAGUCAACUAUCACGGUACGUUAGCGAAUUCGCAAGUUAGCAAAGAGUUCAUUAAAUUAAAAUUUAACUAAAACUAACGAGUACUGGUAUGGUAUUGUUGAAUUAAUAUAUUGAAUGUUAAAUAUCACGUUACGCAAACAAUUUCGUAAAGUUAAAACGUACUUGCUAAUUGUCUACGGUUUAAAUUAAUUAGUACUUAAAACAUAAAUUGUAAAAUUACUUUAAUAAAAGACAAACUCAUUUAUUGAGAUUAAUUAACUACAAGAAAAGUGGCAAAAACAUGUUAUUUUAAAGAGUGGACAGCCGUUGAUUAAAAUACAAAUGGGUCAGCAACUUUGUAAAAACAUGGGCAAAUAAACUUUAAAAGCUUUGGGCAUAUUUCCUUGAUUUAUAAUAGAGUGGGUAUAGUAGAAUUUUUUAAAUUUUUUGCCCUACCUUCUUUUCCUUGAUUAUUUAUUUAUUUAUUAUUAAAGAAAAUCAUCCUACAUUAGCGAAAAUCAUUGGCCUACUUCCAUUCUAAUGUCAAAAUUACCGGACCUUUUAAAUGCUCGAUUUUUCUGUUGCCUUAUCAAAUAAGGCUGAUGAGUACUCUAAAAAGAAUAAUCAAUACUCUUAGAAAUUCUAUAUAAAAAGGGAAAAAAACAAAUAAAAUUUGAUAAAGAUUAACUGGAAUAGCUAAAACACAAUAUAUGAAACAUAACUCCACUUUUCAUCAGCUCAAAUGAUUCCAACUUAACAACAACAACAACCCAUUAUAAUCUCACUUAGUGGAGUCUGGGAAGGGUACUGUGUACGCAGACCUUACCCCUACCCUUGGGCAGAGAGGCUGUUUCCAAAUAGACCCCUGGCAUCAUUCCGUUCAAGAACUUCCCACCUUGCUCUUGGGGAGACUCGAACUCACAACCUCUCGGUUGGAAGUGGGGGUUGCUUUCCAUCAGUGCAACCCUUCUUGUCAAAUGAUUCCAACUCAAUUAAUCAAUAAACUUUACUUUUCCAAAAAAAAAAAAAAAAGAAUCAUGCCUUUACAGUCAUCCUUAGUUACUGUGCUAAUUUUAUCUUUCAUAAAGUCGAACUUAAGAAUCCUAUGUUACAUGAAGGGCCACCAUUAGACAGUACGCAAUUACACAAGCAGAGAUCAAACUUCACAAAUUGAUAAGAUCUAGUAUUUGAAGGAGGCCAACAUGAACAAUAAACCAGGUAUAAAACUCUUCAUUAAAAGUAAAUUUUAGCAUUUAUCUGUUAAACAAGUGAUAGAGUAAGUAAUAGAACUCGACUAUUUUUCAAUCAUAUAAACAUUUUCUCAUACUUCUUCAGAUGAUACGCAUAAUUCAUUCUACUAACAAAACUUAUUUGCAGACAACAACAACAACAACAACAAUUACCCAGUAUACUCCCACCAGGUGGGGUCUGGGGAGGGUAAUAUGUAGACAAGCCUUACCCCUACCCCAAAGGGCAGAGAUGUUGUUUCCAAUCGACCCCCCGGCUCAUAGAAUAAAAGGAAAAAUAGCAGUAAAACAAAAACAAAGACAAAAACAAAAACAAUAGAGCAUUAGUAACUCCAGCAGACACAAUAAAAGAAUAAGCUAUACUAUUUAAGCAUAACGCGAAUGUAUAAUUUUAGCAUUCAACAUUCAUCUGUAAACUUACUGAAGCAGCACAAGAGCAUACUAAUAAUAGUCAACACAAGUAAUACUUCUUUAAAUGAAAGUGUCAUUGCAACUCAUUUAAAUUGAAGCUUAAUUACAUGAUGAAAAGUUACCUAAGUAGUAAAACAUGUGACUUAGUGAUGAACUCAAGCGUCCACAACUGUUGUACUCAACAGUUUCCAGCCAACAAUAAUAACACAGCCAGUCAAGAAAACCAGAUAAGAAUGAACUCCAAACCCAGAAGAACUACUUUCGAACUAAAAACGAACUUGAAAACUUUUUGAAGGGAUUUUCUUAGUAAGAAAGGGCUACCAUAUCUCUUUUAAGGCACCAGCUUUAUGCUCUCUUUGUUGUGUUUACUUAGAGGGUGAAAAAGAUUGUAAAAAAUAUGUAAACUAGUGUGUGGCCCUUUCUUUAGUAAGAAAUAUGAAAAAAAUUAAAAUAACAAAACAUUAAUAAUUUUUGGAGGUG
rnacentral:lncRNA from 1 species